rnacentral:misc_RNA from 1 species
UUUCCGUAGGUGAACCGGCGGAAGGAUCAUUAUUGUAUAACCGUUUUGCGAGGGCUGUCGCUGACCCGAACGGUCGUGCUCUCUUGAGUGCCCAUACAAACAUAAAUCUCCACUCUAUGUGCACUACCGUGAGGUUGCUCCCUUGGUUUGCUAGGAGGGGGCCUCUGGUUUUCAUACAAACUUUGUAUUCAAUGCAGAAAGCCUAUUUUCAUUUUGCGAUCACUCAAUCAUUACUACUUUCAAUAACGGAUCUAUUGGCUCCCCCACCGAUGAAGAACG